GUAGGGAAUCUUCCACAAUGGGCGAAAGCCUGAUGGAGCAACGCCGCGUGUGUGAUGAAGGGUUUCGGCUCGUAAAACACUGUUGUAAGAGAAGAAUGACAUUGAGAGUAACUGUUCAAUGUGUGACGGUAUCUUACCAGAAAGGAACGGCUAAAUACGUGUCAG
rnacentral:rRNA from 1 species